rnacentral:rRNA from 1 species
UACGUAGGGGGCAAGCGUUGUUCGGAAUUACUGGGCGUAAAGGGCGCGUAGGCGGCAUGGCAAGUCAGGAGUGAAAGGCCUGGGCUCAACCGAGGAACUGCUUUUGAUACUGCCAAGCUAGAGUGCGGAAGGGGCAACUGGAAUUCCCAGUGUAGCGGUGAAAUGCGUAGAUAUUGGGAAGAACACCUGAGGCGAAGGCGGGUUGCUGGGCCGACACUGACGCUGAGGUGCGAAAGCCAGGGGAGCAAACGGG